rnacentral:lncRNA from 1 species
CUCGCUUUGUAUUUUUAUUUUUUUAUUCAAGUGUGUACUUAUCUUUCUUACUUCAGAAUAAAAGGCAGUCUCCUGAUUAGCAUGGCUUGAGAAGAUCUUCUUUAGAGAAAAUAAACACUGGAAACAAACAGAGCUGCUGGGUGAUCCCUUAGCUGGCAACACAGGAAAUGUCGCAUAUGAUGUAAAGAAGAACACUUUGGAGAGUGCACAGCAGCAAGGGGCAAUGUGUGAGUCAGAGGGGUGUGUCUCCAGGAUACUGACUGCACAAGGACCUUCCUGCUCCAUCAAGAUGAUCCACUGUAGAAGGAAGCUUCUGGUUUUCUGUAUGGAUAGACUUCUUCUUGUCCCUUGUUACAGUCCAUUGUCUUAAUAAAAAUCAAAAGAC